CCUACGGGAGGCAGCAGUGAGGAAUAUUGGUCAAUGGGCGGGAGCCUGAACCAGCCAAGUCGCGUGAGGGAAGACGGUCCUAUGGAUUGUAAACCUCUUUAGGCGGGGAGCAAUGCCGGGCACGCGUGCCCGGAGGGAGAGUACCCGCAGAAUAAGCAUCGGCUAACUCCGUGCCAGCAGCCGCGGUAAUACGGAGGAUGCGAGCGUUAUCCGGAUUUAUUGGGGGUAAAGGGAGCGCAGGCGGCACGGCAAGCCUGAUGUGAAAGCCCGCGGCCCAACCGCGGGACUGCAUUGGGAACUACCGGGCUGGAGUGCCGGAGAGGUAGGCGGAAUUCCUAGUGUAGCGGUGAAAUGCGUAGAUAUUAGGAGGAACACUCGUGGCGAAGGCGGGUUCCUGGACAUUAACUGACGCUGAGGCACGAAGGCCAGGGGAGCGAAAGGGAUUAGAUACCCGAGUAGUC
rnacentral:rRNA from 1 species